rnacentral:rRNA from 1 species
UGGCGGACGGGUGAGUAACGCGUGAGGAACCUGCCUUUCAGAGGGGGACAACAGUUGGAAACGACUGCUAAUACCGCAUAAGCCCACGGGUCGGCAUCGACCAGAGGGAAAAGGAGCAAUCCGCUUUGAGAUGGUCUCGCGUCCGAUUAGCUAGUUGGUGAGGUAAUGGCCCACCAAGGCGACGAUCGGUAGCCGGACUGAGAGGUUGAACGGCCACAUUGGGACUGAGACACGGCCCAGACUCCUACGGGAGGCAGCAUG